rnacentral:rRNA from 1 species
CAUCGAUGAAGAACGCAGCGAAAUGCGAUACGUAGUGUGAAUUGCAGAAUUCAGUGAAUCAUCGAAUCUUUGAACGCACAUUGCGCCCUUUGGUAUUCCAAAGGGCAUGCCUGUUCGAGCGUCAUUUGUACCCUCAAGCUUUGCUUGGUGUUGGGCGUUUUUGUCCCCCCCAAAAAGGGGACUCGCCUUAAAAGGAUUGGCAGCCGGCCUACUGGUUUCGCAGCGCAGCACAUUUUUGCGCUUGCAAUCAGCAAAAGAGGACGGCAAUCCAUCAAGACUCCUUCUCACGUUUGACCUCGGAUCAGGUAGGGAUACCCGCUGAACUUAAGCAUAUCAAUAAGCGGAGG